UCUAUCAUCUGUCUACCUGUCUGUCUAUUUAUCUAUCAAUCAUCUGCCUACCUGUCUAUGUAUCUAUCAUCUGCCUACCUGUCUAUCUGUCUAUGUAUGUACGUAUCUAUCUAUCAUCUGCCUACCUGUUUGUCUAUGUAUCUAUCAUCUGCCUACCUGUCUAUGUAUCUAUCUAUCAUCUGCCUACCUGUCUAUCUGUCUAUGUAUGUAUGUAUCUAUCUAUCAUCUGUGUACCUGUCUGUCUAUGUAUCUAUCUAUCAUCUGCCUACCUGUCUGUCUAUGUAUCUAUCUAUCAUCUGUGUACCUGUCUGUCUAUGUAUCUAUCUAUCAUCUGCCUACCUGUCUAUCUAUGUAUCUAUCUAUCAUCUGCCUACCUGUCUAGCCAUUUACCUGUUACUAGACAUCUGGCUUUUUCCAAUUAUUAUUAUUUUGCUUUAUUAAGUAGCCUGGCCCAUUAACUCUCUGCCUAUAUCUUUGUUUAAAAUUUCUAAUAAUUUCCUUAUGGAAGAUUCCAAGAAGGAGACUAUGGGAUCAUGGGAGAUGACCUCUGCAGUUCCUGAAAGACAUUACUAAAUCGCUGCCCUAGGGGGAUUACACAAACCAGCUGAAGGGAGUUCCUGGGAAAGAUGAAUGCCAUUGGCAGCGGAAAUUCUUGCCUAUAAGAAAAAAAAACCUGCCUCAUCCACACGCCUGCCCCACCCAAAUAGCUAUUCCAGCUUCAAAGGACUCAGCCACUGGCCCAGCCCCCCGACUCCAAGCUGCCCCAGGGCCAGUCCAGGGAGUGCUGGGCCAGGCUUUGCAGAGGCCAGUUCCCUUCAUUUCCUCUCCUGCAGGCAGGGGCUGCAUUUGCAGCAGCUGUGCCCAGAGCCGCCCUUGCUGGUUUAGAUCAGCACUGACAAGGAAGGCCAGGAAAACCCUGAUGCUCUCAGAUUCGGCAAGUAGGGAGGCCUUGCAGCGGGGACCGAGGAAGCUGAGAGAGGCCUGGCAACCACCAUGCCAGAGAUGGGGAUAAGCAGAAGCAGAGGUUCUGGCGCAAGUCAUGCAGCUUGAUAAAAGGCGGGGCUUGGGACUGGAGUCUCGGACCGGCAGCAACAUCUCCAUCCGUACUGACCACAUGCGGAAUGCUGAAUAGUCACACGUGGCAAAGGGCCUCUACAUUGGACAGCACAGAUCUAUACAGUAGGGUUCAGUCUCAGGGUGGACCCAUGCCUGAGGGCUUUGUUACCAAAAUAGGAGAAUAAAAAUGAUGAGAUAGCCA